ensembl:lncRNA
CUCUGGUAGUCACCGUCCUACACAGUCAAGUGUACAGAGUAUUAGAGGUUUGCCAAGAACACAUCCUUGUGUCUGCCAAGGAGUGUCUGUUGGAGGAAGAAGGUCCCAGCAGAGAACGGUCAGAGGUGAAAUGGACUGCCUCGGGAGGCAGUAAGCUCCUUGUCUCUAAGCAAAGGAGGCCAGCUGAGAUGGAACGGAAAACAGCAUCCGCUGCUUGGCGAUGAACAUGAGCUCCUAGCCCUGCCUGUGGCAGCCCACCCCCCAGGAGAGAGGAUGUGGAAAUUGGCCUCCGCACCACCUGGUUCAACUCCAGCCACUGUUACUUACCAGCUGAGAUCUCAGAAAUGCUCCUUGUGAGAGCUGCCUGGCCAAGACCUCAUCCUUCUCGGGGUGCAGCUCAGAUCCGCCCUCCUUCGUUACAGCUAGCGGUCUACCCAGGAAGGAAUUCACCGCUCCCUCCCCUGCUCCCAUGGCUCAGGAUUUCAAGGAGCCUCUGUUAGAGAGAGGCAGCAUCCUGCAGUGCCUGACAGCUCAGCUCUGGGGGCCAGUUCAACGCAUGCCUUGAGCUGUGUGACGUUGGCUUUUCUGUGCCUCAGUUUCCUACUUUUUCAGGGAUCUUCGACAAGUUCUCAGGUGCUCUAGUGCCUAGGGGCUAACAGCCAUCUCGGGCUUGGAGAUGGAGAGAUGAAAGGCUCCGCACAGUUUUCACGGAGUUCCCGGGCCAUCGAGGGAUGCACGGACAAACUACUGUCACCAAAGAGCCAGCAGUAUUGGCAUGUCCUGGGAGCUUGCCAGAAAUGCAGAGUUCCAGGCCCCCAGCCUUCCUGAAUACGAACCUCCCUUGAAAGGGGAUCCCCAGGGGGCUUCGUGAGCACAUCAAGCUCUGAGAAGCAGGCUCUAGUUCCAGCUGUGUCAGAGCCUUCUGCAGAACGUCAGGACAGUCCUGCGGAGAAAAGACAAGACAGGCAGGAAAGCUGGCUUCUCCUCCUGGCUCGGUCGCUGGUUCAUCACCUAAUAUUUGUUCCUCCCGGACUCUCACCUAACCCACCAUGCACAUGCUGACAACGCCCCAGUGCUUUGCUCGGAGCCCCGUGUCACUGUGUGUCUGGGAAGACUUUAAAAAUACAGCCACUAGGUCCCCCUCCACUCAGAGAUUCUGCUUCAGUACAUCUCGGUUAGGUCAGGAUGGUGUGUGUUUAAAGGCUGCCAGAUAAUUCCGAAGAUCAGCCAGAUUUGUAAGCCAAUGGCCUGUCCAAAGGCACUGCUCAGUGGGACAACUGGUACCCCAUGGGACUGGACAGCAUCCGGUUCAGGGAGGCCACAGCCGUGUUGGCCUGAAGCAGGCACUGCGGAGAGACCCAGGCAGACCCACAAUCACCCUUUGGUCUCCCUGUGAGUGUAGACAGAUCCUGCCACAGGAGCUCCCCGAGUCCGUUCCUUUGUAAAAUGAGAUCAGCAGUCACUCGGCCUCCCAGCCCAGUUGGGAGGAUUAAGUGGAACAACUUGGAGUCUGUGCUCUGUGAGUGGUCACGCUCUGUGCAAACUGUCCACCCCCUCCCAGCUGCCCUCUGGCCACCUGCACUGGGACCAGUGGCAUCCAGCCUGGUCGAAGGUUAACGUCUCUCACCACAGUGGAGGGCUUGGAGAGGCUGUGCUGCUGCCCCGGGCCAGAGGGCCAGCAGGGAAGCAGACCCCCAGCUUUUGGCCCAGGUGGUCAUUUUUGGAAUUACUCCACUCUGCACAGCCACCUGCCUUGCCCAGUACUUUUGUGUUUUCUCUAAUCUUUUGGAGCCUUGCUUGUUACACCAGUUGGUCAGCAGGAGCCUGCACGCUGGCUGGCCAGUGAGACUGAAACCAAUUCCAAUGGGACUGAAAUCUUUUGCAUCUGUCACCGUCUCUCCAUGUCCGUGCUCUUUUUCAUCACCCUAAUCCAAGGGCCUUUCAAGAGGCCAUUAUUGCCCUCUGCAGAUGUGUUCUUCUCACGCAGCCAGAGGGGUCCUCUUAAGAUAUAAAUCAGAUUGUGUCAUUGAUUUGACUGGCUUUCUGUUCUUAUUGAAUAAAAUCCAAA